rnacentral:rRNA from 1 species
GGCGAACGGGUGAGGAACACGUGAAGAAUCUGCCUUCAACUCUGGGAUAACUCCGGGAAACCGGGGCUAAUACCGGAUAUGAGCCUUGGCCGCAUGGCCGGGGCUGGAAAGUUUUUCGGUUGAAGAUGACUUCGCGGCCUAUCAGCUUGUUGGUGAGGUAACGGCUCACCAAGGCGACGACGGGUAGCCGGCCUGAGAGGGCGACCGGCCACACUGGGACUGAGACACGGCCCAGACUCCUACGGGAGGCAGCAGUGGGGAAUAUUGGGCAAUGGAGGAAACUCUGACCCAGCGACGCCGCGUGAGGGAUGAAGGCCUUCGGGUUGUAAACCUCUUUCAGUAGGGAAGAAGCGAAAGUGACGGUACCUACAGAAGAAGCACCGGCUAACUAUGUGCCAGCAGCCGCGGUAAUACAUAGGGUGCAAGCGUUGUCCGGAAUUAUUGGGCGUAAAGAGCUCGUAGGUCGUUUGUCGCGUCGAUUGUGAAAAUCUGAGGCUCAACCUCAGACCUGCAGUCGAUACGGGCAAACUAGAGUGUGGUAGGGGAGACUGGAAUUCCUGGUGUAGCGGUGGAAUGCGCAGAUAUCAGGAGGAACACCAAUGGCGAAGGCAGGUCUCUGGGCCAUAACUGACACUGAGGAGCGAAAGUGCGGGGAGCGAACAGGAUU